rnacentral:lncRNA from 1 species
UAAAUUUCUUUAUUUUCUUAUUUUGUGCUAGAUGUCCUUGUAGUGAGAGCCGCAUUUUAAUAUGCCAUAAAUAUUACUGAAUACUUGAUUCUUUCAUGUUUGCAGUGUCAUCUAUUAUACUCAAUCUAUAUAAUUUACUUGAGUUUUAUCACAUGUUUAUCUAUCUUGUAGGUGUUCAAACUAAGAAAAAAAAGAAAGGGCUUCUGAAAAAAUGUGAUUGUUGGUUAGCCGAACAAGUAUUUCUCUAGCAGCGCAGCAGACGCUUUCCUUCUGGUGACAUGUGAGAGUGGGUGGGACUGAUACGUUGAUGUGGCAGACGUACAUCGUGAACCACGCUGAGGAAGGCAACAUCUGUGAGGAUGGUGGAGAAUUACACGGGAAGAAGACAAAUCCAUAGAAGAAGAUCACAGAGCAAAGCCUCACUUGCAUAGGCUCUUUGGAAUUUUAAAUUGUUCCAUGUGCACGAGUCAAACUUAAGGCAUUGUCUUUCAUUUGCUUGUUUUCCAGCAGUUUAGUCUUUAUCCUAAUAAAACUGCUUAGGAAAAUAUGAGCUGAUUGCUA